GUAACUUUUGAGCAAGAUUUUGAACUCAAAAUGCAGCUCCUGAUGGUUUCCCAAUCGCGAGGGUUCAUCACACGAUUGCGCAUCCAUGGAGCGUAAUGGUCAAGCCUAUACUCCUUGUAUACUCUACCAGCUUUGGUGACUUUUGAACAUUGUUUGUGGGGAACUUAUUUUAUAAGCUGUCACGGAAUAAUAUAUUGAAGUAGUCUCAAGGCAAGAAAAGAAUUUUGUGGACCAACAUUUGGUUGCUCAACAGCAUUGGCCACAGUUAAAGAUGUGGGACUAUCCAUAGAACUUGUGUGCAGCAAUGGAAUAUUUACACAACUCUCCAAGUUUGAGGAUCUAGAAGCCAAUAAAGGAAGCCUGUACCUAGGAGGUGUCACUGGGAGAUCAAAACUUGGUUUGUCCAACUCUCUAUCAAACCUUACAUUGAUCUCACCUCAUUGUUGGGCUUCACUCUUCACUUGGGAAGCUUCAUUUACGAAUUAGCUCCCCAAUGCCUGAAAUGGUAUCUAGCUCAGGAAUGAGGGAAGAAAAAGGAGCAAAAAUACAUUGGGGCAUUCCGAGAAUUGAACUCGGGACCUCUCGCACCCUAAGCGAGAAUCAUACCACUAGACCAAAUGCCCAUGUUGAAAUUGAGUUUGUGAGACACUGAGAUAUGAUUCUGCAAUUGUUAUACCCAAGUCGAGUAGUCGGGACAAAGCAUGCUUAAGCCUGCAAAGUUUGUCUGAAGAUCGGUGGAGGUGAGCAGAG